GGAUUAGAUACCCUGGUAGUCCACGCCGUAAACGAUGUCUACUAGCCGUUGGGAGACUUGAUUUCUUAGUGGCGCAGCUAACGCACUAAGUAGACCGCCUGGGGAGUACGGCCGCAAGGUUAAAACUCAAAUGAAUUGACGGGGGCCCGCACAAGCGGUGGAGCAUGUGGUUUAAUUCGAUGCAACGCGAAGAACCUUACCAGGCCUUGACAUCCUGCGAAUUUGGAAGAGAUUCCUUAGUGCCUUCGGGAACGCAGUGACAGGUGCUGCAUGGCUGUCGUCAGCUCGUGUUG
rnacentral:rRNA from 1 species